UAAGAGCUCCUACGAUAAAAAGAAAUACGAUAACUGCAAGCACAGAUUAAGACGUGUCUUAUCCGCUUGCUAGGCAAUUUAUUAUCUUCCAAAAUACUUACUUCGAUUAUUUCAACAAAAGACCUUCAGUUAACUUUAAAGCUCUUGUCUGUAAAGUGAGGGGAGGAGAUUGGAUCGCAAGAGUAGUCCAAUAAUUGCCCAUCGACACAACCGCCUAGAAACUCUUUUGUACAACUUCUAUCCCAGGGGGAAAUAAUUUUGGAUAACCAUCAUGAGGCAACUAAAGGGCAAAGUGAAGAAAGAAACGAGGAAGGAGAAAAGGGUGAGAAAACAAGAGAACAUGGACAAUAAGAGAAAUAUAUUGUAUGUUGUGCUUCCUACCUUCGCUCUCAUUGCCUGUGCAAUUAUCUUCUAUGUGUACUACAAAUCAAGGCCCAAGAUUGCUGUCGAUCUUUGAGAGUUCUUAUUGAUACAUUUUACAGGUAUUAAAGAGAAAUUUCCAUCUUUGAAAGAUAAGAAAACUUUGCUUCUAUGUUACUUCUAUGGGGUACUACUUGGCGACCAAGAUUACUUGCGAUAUUUUUCAGUAUGAAUAUCAAAUCAUUCUCAAAACUUAACAGAUAAAGGAUAUCUUGCUUCAUUUUCUGCAUUGGAGAAAUGGAGGAGUUGUGCCCAGUCCCUACCCUUCCUGUGCCGCCAAAUUGAUAGCCAACUUUCAUUAUGAAUUUCUAAUAAAUUGAGACAAAGAAUCCAAAAUUCACUUUCUUAAAAAGCCUUUUUUUACUUUGUCAAAUCCUGCCAAAAGUGAAUUACAUGUAUUCCAAUAUAUUACUGCAUUAUGUGAAUAUGUAGCCUAUGCCCUAUGUAUGCCCUAAAAAGUCAAUGUUGUGAAUACCUGAAAUGAAUAUAUGAUAUAUUGGAUAAAAUUUAUGAUUGUACAUUGAUCACAUCAAGCUUAUCAUUUUAUGUUUAUCUUAUAUCAUAAGGAAAGUCACAUUGAUGGUUGGCAGUUGAAACUCAUUUUUCGGGUGUUACUCUUUUUUGUUGUUGUUUUUCAUUUGUUACCAUCAACUUUCAAUGGACUCUAGAUUGAUUUAGUUUAUAUUUUGUAUCAAUAGUUUGAGAGUUGUACAUUUCAUUUGUCAAAAAUAUCCAACAUGUUAUUCCUUAUUUGGGGGGUUUUAAUUCAUUUUCGUUUGGAACUUUAGAGUCAGUUUAUUGAUCUAUUAUUUUAUGUUUAUAAUAUGAAGUGUUACACGUACAUUUCAUUUGAAAACUGAAAGCAUUCGAUAUGGCUCAGGACACUGCCAUUACUUAUUUACUUGUAAACUUUUUUUUUUACUUUAAAGAUGGUAUCAAUUGCCUGAAUCAUUUCAAAGGUCACAUUCACUGCACACAGAAAAGCAUGUGUUAGACUACACCCAAGCAUUUGUUUAGACAGUUAUAACUGCUCUGUACUAUAUUUUAAUGUAAUGAAAUUUUAAGCAUAAUCCUGAUUUUGUAUUAUAUUCUACCAAACUAUAAAAGGAAU